rnacentral:misc_RNA from 1 species
GAUGAAGAACGUAGCGAAAUGCGAUAAGUAAUGUGAAUUGCAGAAUUCAGUGAAUCAUCGAAUCUUUGAACGCACAUUGCGCCCGCCAGCAUUCUGGCGGGCAUGCCUGUUCGAGCGUCAUUUCAACCCUCGAGCCCCCCCGGGGGCCUCGGUGUUGGGGGACGGCACACCAGCCGCCCCCGAAAUGCAGUGGCGACCCCGCCGCAGCCUCCCCUGCGUAGUAGCACACACCUCGCACCGGAGCGCGGAGGCGGGCACGCCGUAAAACGCCCAACUUUCUUAGAGUUGACCUCGGAUCAGGUAGGAAUACCCGCUGAACUUAAGCACAUCAAUAAGCGGAGGA